UACGGGGGGAGCAAGCGUUGUUCGGAUUUACUGGGCGUAAAGGGCGCGUAGGCGGCACUGCAAGUCAGUUGUGAAAUCUCCGGGCUUAACCCGGAAAGGUCAACUGAUACUGCAGGGCUAGAGUGCAGAAGGGGCAACUGGAAUUCUCGGUGUAGCGGUGAAAUGCGUAGAUAUCGAGAGGAACACCUGCGGCGAAGGCGGGUUGCUGGGCUGACACUGACGCUGAUGCGCGAAAGCCAGGGGAGCGAACGGG
rnacentral:rRNA from 1 species